rnacentral:rRNA from 1 species
GAUGAACGCUGGCGGCGUGCCUAAUACAUGCAAGUCGAGCGAACAGACGAGGAGCUUGCUCCUCUAACGUUAGCGGCGGACGGGUGAGUAACACGUGGAUAACCUACCUAUAAGACUGGGAUAACUUCGGGAAACCGGAGCUAAUACCGGAUAAUAUAUUGAACCGCAUGGUUCAAUAGUGAAAGACGGUUUUGCUGUCACUUAUAGAUGGAUCCGCGCCGCAUUAGCUAGUUGGUAAGGUAACAGCUUACCAAGGCAACGAUGCGUAGCCGACCUGAGAGGGUGAUCGGCCACACUGGAACUGGGACACGGUCCAGACUCCUACGGGAGGCAGCAGUAGGGAAUCUUCCGCAAUGGGCGAAAGCCUGACGGAGCAACGCCGCGUGAGUGAUGAAGGUCUUCGGAUCGUAAAACUCUGUUAUUAGGGAAGAACAAAUGUGUAAGUAACUAUGCACGUCUUGACGGUACCUAAUCAGAAAGCCACGGCUAACUACGUG